ensembl:snRNA U6 U6 spliceosomal RNA
AUGCUUGCUUUGUAGCACAUAUGCUAAAUUGUGAAUGAUACAGAGAAGAUUAGCAUGACUCCAAUGCAAGAAUGACAUGCAAAUUGUGAAGUGUUCCAUAUUUUU